rnacentral:rRNA from 1 species
GUCAGUACUGUGCUUACGGUCGAGCGGGAAGAAGAAGGAAAAGCUCUCAAAGUUCAGCGCCCAGUGUAUUAUUUGUCUGAAGUCUUGACUCCAUCCAAGCAGAGAUAUCCUCAUUAUCAGAAGCUUGUGUAUGGAAUAUACAUGACCACAAAGAAGGUUGCUCAUUAUUUCUCUGAUCACUCCAUCACAGUCGUCAGCGACGCUCCACUAUCAGAGAUUUUGCACAACAGAGACGCAACUGGUCGAGUGGCUAAAUGGGCGAUUGAACUUCUUCCCCUUGAUAUCAAGUUUGAGGCAAAGAAAGCCAUUAAG